rnacentral:rRNA from 1 species
AGAGUUUGAUCCUGGCUCAGGAUUAACGCUGGCGGCAUGCCUAAUACAUGCAAGUCGAAUGGGGAGCUUGCUUCCCAUGGCGAACGGGUGAGUAAUACGUAGGUAACCUACCUUUAGGACGAGGAUAACCUUUGGAAACGAAGGAUAAUACUGGAUAGUAUAGAUUUCCGCAUGGAGAUAUAUUUAAAGAUUUAUCACCUAGAGAGGGGCCUGCGGUGCAUUAGCUAGUUGGCGGGAUAAAAGCCCACCAAGGCGAUGAUGCAUAGCCGGACUGAGAGGUUGUACGGCCACAAUGGAACUGAGAACGGUCCAUACUCCUACGGGAGGCAGCAGUAGGGAAUUUUCGGCAAUGGGCGGAAGCCUGACCGAGCAAAUGCCGCGUGAAUGAUGAAGUAUUUCGGUAUGUAAAGUUCUUUUAUCUAGGAAGAAAAACAAAUUGACGGUACUAGAUGAAUAAGCUCCGGCUAACUACGUGCCAGCCGCUGC